rnacentral:rRNA from 1 species
GAUGAACGCUGGCGGCGUGCCCAAUACAUGCAAGUCGAGCGAACAGGCGAGGAGCUUGCUCCUCUGACGUUAGCGGCGGACGGGUGAGUAACACGUGGAUAACCUACCUAUAAGACUGGGAUAACUUCGGGAAACCGGAGCUAAUACCGGAUAAUAUAUUGAACCGCAUGGUUCAAUAGUGAAAGACGGUUUUGCUGUCACUUAUAGAUGGAUCCGCGCCGCAUUAGCUAGUUGGUAAGGUAACGGCUUACCAAGGCAACGAUGCGUAGCCGACCUGAGAGGGUGAUCGGCCACACUGGAACUGAGACACGGUCCAGACUCCUACGGGAGGCAGCAGUAGGGAAUCUUCCGCAAUGGGCGAAAGCUUGACGGAGCAACGCCGCGUGAGUGAUGAAGGUCUUCGGAUCGUAAAACUCUGUUAUUAGGGAAGAACAAAUGUGUAAGUAACUAUGCACGUCUUGACGGUACCUAAUCAGAAAGCCACGGCUAACUACGUG